AGGACGUGCAGCUGCCAAAGCAAAAGGAGUCUGAAGCCUCCAUGCCCUUGCCCAGGUAGGCAGUGGCUGACUGCAAAUAGAUCCCAUUGGAGACUUGUCCUCUUCAGGCUGAAGAAGUGCAGUUCCCUCCACUUCUUUCAACAAUGUCCUGAACUCUGAUACCCAGGAGAUCUCUGUGAUCCUGUGCUUGAGCUCUUCAGUUCCCUUCUGUCUUGGGAAACCAAAGACUUGUCUCAAAACUCCAGAUGUGCUGAGCAGACAGGCACAGUUACUCUCCACAUGCUUCGUGCUAAUCAGUGUUCAAGAGCAGUACAAGGCAAAGAAAAGUUCCAGAAGAUUCAGCUGUCUCUGAGAAGAUAUUGUUACCAUGAGCAGAAACAACAACAACAAAAAAACAACAAAAAGCACAACCUCAAAAAAGAUUAAAUAUCUUGUACAGCCAUCCCGCUCCCCUCCAUCUACUAGAAAGAUUUUAUUUUUUUUUUUAAUGCAGGAAAUUAUUUGUUUUCUAACAGAAAUAGCUAAGAGAUUUGACCUGUCACUUGUGAACCUCCAAAACCAGAAGCUGCUCCUGUAAGAUGCUAGCUGACUAAUUUCUGUGCACUGGAAAGCAAGUUUGCAUUUCCCCAGAGGUGAUUGGAAGUAAUCUUUCUGACCUCUCCAGGAUUAAAGCUGGUGUAUGUUUCCUUGCA